GUUUCGGAAGCGAGAUGUAAACAGACUCGAAAUUAACAAGUUUUGAAGACGGCUGGCAUAAUGGCUAGCAAACGCAAGCUCGACGAUGAUAUAGAAACGUUCUCCACCCCAAGUAAAGCUGCAAAAUUGUCGGAAGAAGUAAAAAGAUCUGGUAGGGUAAGAAAGAAACCUGCUAGAUUCAAAGACACGGAAGAGGAUUCAGAUGAAGAGGGAGAAAUAGGAAAGACGCCAAAAAGUGCCGGAAAUGUCAGCCCAGUUCCUGUUAAAUCGGUUUUACAUGCUAAAGGAGUGGCCUCAGUGCCAUUCGUUCUGAAACCAGACAUAGUGUCCAGUCCAGCAAAAGUGCCAAAACCUAAAACAGUCAUCUCAAAAUCACCAGGUGUUAUUAUGGUACAGAAUCAAGGCCUGUCAGGAGCAGGUGUAGAGACUAACCCGUUAGUUGUGUCACCACAUCUGGUGUCUGUGCCCCCAGUUGCACCUGCUUCUCUGCCAGUUGUGAUCCAAGCACCAGUUAUCUCCCCUGUUCAUGAACAAUCACCUGUCACUGUCAAAGGUCAAACAGCACAGAGCAUGGAUUCAGACAAUAAGUCCGGACGGGUGAGGAAAAAGUCCACCAAAGUUCUAGAAAUGGAAGCAUUUGAAGAGGCAGAGAGAAUAAAAACAACCACUAAAAAGGUUCCGGAAACAAAAAGCAAUCAAAAGUCACCUGCUGCUCGGAAAAGUGCUCAAGUAGGUGGUGUUGGGAAGACAGUGGACACAGGCCUAGCAGCUGUCACACUGACUGGUCUGACUCAAGGAGUAGCUGCAGAGGUUGGCAAACUGACCGCUGUCAAGAUGGAGCCUGCAGAACAGAUGUUGGACACCAGUAUACCACCACAAGCUUUGUCACAACCUGCUAUUCCGGGAAAAAUGGAUCCAGCGUUAGCUAAUCUCCCACCAUUUCCUCCUUCAAAACUUGGAACUUCAUCAAAACCGGCCAUUUCAGGAAAAAUUGAUCCUGUGUUAGCAAACCUUCCACCCUUUCCACCAUCAAAGCUAGGAAACUCUUCUAAAAAAGGGAAAAAGAAAAAAGACGAUGUGGGCACAUUACCUACUCCGUCUUUGAUUGCUCCAGUGUCCCCAAUUGUUUCUGGUUCCAAAAAGGGAAAAACUACCCCGAAAGCUAAGAAACUGAAACAACAGGAAAUGAUGGAUGUUGAUGAGGCCAUAAUUGAAGAUAAAGAGAGUGGUAUCUUGCAGUCUGGGUCAGAUAGCUCUAUAACUGUAAAGACUGAGCCAAUAUCUCCAGGAAAAAAUGUGAAAAAAACAGUGAAAGCAUCACCCCCUUCGAUGGAUCCCUCACUCAUUGAAACAGGGAUACGAAUCCCACCUGCCAUAGCUGGACAAAGUGGAAGUGUAAUAAAAAUGUUAUUGAACACUCCCACUCAGUUUUCUAGUCCUACAGUGUCCACACAGUCUAUACAUACAGGCGAGAAAGGCCAGAAGGCAAGCCCUGAUACCAUGGAUACCAGCAUUGUCAAGUCUGAAGCUAUGUUUCUUGGUGAUGAGUCUACCAUUAUGUUGUCCACAGAUAUUAUGGAACAAACAGAGACAGUUGGAGACGAGGAUGUGUUUGAUAACAAAAAAACAAAAAAAGUAAUUAAAAAGACAAUCCUUAUGGACCCAAUGGAUGAUGAUGAGGACGAUGAUGACCUUGAUGAUUUAGAUGAUGAUGAUGAUGAUUUUGAUAAUGUUGAUGAAUCUGGUGAAUGGGAAUUUGAAAACCAGGAUGGCAAACUGGUAAUAGCAGAUUUUCCAAAGAAAGGAAAUGAGGAGAUGGAAGAAGAUAAACCUGUGGAUUCAAGCAGAGGAAAGAAAUCACCAAAACGACCUACUCCUAAAAAGCGACCUCCUAGCAAGGGCAAGGCUGAUGGGCCAGAUGCAGAUGGUGAGCAAGGCGAUGGAAAGAAAAGUGGAAAAGCAGCGAAAGAAAAGAAGAAAAAGAGGCUGACAGCAUAUACAAUGUGGUGUAACACUGUCCGCAACAAGGUCCUCAGCGAAAACCAGGGAAUGGUGCGCAGACGAUAUUCAACACUGGAGAAAGUUGAAGUGGUUCAGUGGCACAGAGAACAUGGGGGCAACUUUUCGGCAACAGAGAGACAUUGUGGCAUUGCUCGGAAACAGGUGCGCGAGUGGAACAGGGAUUACGACAAUCUCCUUCUCCUGUCUAAUGGUCCUGACAAGAGUAAGAAGUGUAUUGUGACCAAGGGUAAAGCGGCUUCCUCAGAGCUGGACUAUCUUGUGUUUGAAUGGUUUAUGGACGAGCGUAUGUCAGGAAGGUCUGUGACCAACAUGAUACUAAUGUCGAAGGCCCGAGAUGUUGCUCUCGAGCUGAAUGUCCUAGGAUUCCAGGCUUCGCCGGGAUGGCUGAGGAGGUGGAAGAAAAGACACAAUGUUGCUUUCUGUCCAGAAAAUAAGAGCUGUGAGCUCGAUUAAAACUUGGUAUCUACUCUGACAUGUCCCAGUAAAUGUGACAUGAUGUUUCUGCUGCUAAGUGAAGAUAAACAAGAAUGUGACGUAGCUAACACUAAUUGGCAGCAUUCCAAAUUUUCUGGUGCAAAAGUCAUAUUAUGGGUCAAAUGGAUUCUGUCAUCAUCGAGGUCUGGUAGCUGAUGGUGUUGAAGGUAUUCUAAAGUGUCCACUGGAGAUGUGUUUUACAUAUAUGGAAAUGAAAUAUGACCUGCCACAAGGUGUAGGAGACUGAUCUGUCGAGGAGAUUCAGACAUUAACAUGACUAUGUGUGCCACUUGUAUACACCCCUUUAUAUUGCCAAAAUGUUGCUAGAUAAAUGAUGGCAGUAUAAAAAGGUUUUAAUGUAAAAUGUCAGCCAAAUAUAGCCAUGAUUUUAUUUCAUUUCCAUUCGAAAUUAAAGGAAUUACUUGUGACCUUGUUCUAUGAGUACAACAUAUGGCCAUGGGCUCCUGUUUUUAUAAGUGUACAUGUUGUUUUGAUUUUGUAGACCUGGAUUGAUUUACAGAACUAAUUGUCAUUUGUUGUAAUGAAACACAGCUCUGUAGUGAUUUAUUAGGACUAAGUGAUGAAAGGUUGUAUAGAUUGAUUUCCUUUGCUGUCACGACAGCUUAACAACUUCCCUCCCUUAACUUAGCAAUAAGUUUUACAAUGAUAAAUUCAGCUGAAGUGCCAAAUGUCCUGUAAGGGGACUGAAUGGUUAGACUUUGUUUCUUGUUUGCUUUUGAUUUUGCACAAUGAUUGGAAUGGCUGAUAUUAGUCUAUUUACAAGAAAGAAGCAUUAUUUGUGAAAA